ACGGAGAUUUCAGCAAUGAAAUCUUAGUGGCGAACGGGUGAGUAACGCGUAGACAACCUACCUUCUAGAUGGGGACAACACUGCGAAAGUGGUGCUAAUACCGAAUGUUGUAUCUUGGUUGCAUAACUAGGAUACUAAAGAUGGCCUCUAUUUAUAAGCUAUCGCUAGAAGAUGGGUCUGCGUCUGAUUAGCUAGUUGGUGGGGUAAUGGCUCACCAAGGCGACGAUCAGUAGCCGGUCUGAGAGGAUGAACGGCCACACUGGGACUGAGACACGGCCCAGACUCCUACGGGAGGCAGCAGUGGGGAAUCUUCCGCAAUGGACGAAAGUCUGACGGAGCAACGCCGCGUGAGUGAAGAAGGUUUUCGGAUCGUAAAACUCUGUUUUCAGGGACGAAUGUGCAGAUUGUAAAUAAUGAUUUGUAAUGACGGUACCUGAGUAGAAAGCCACGGCUAACUACGUGCCAGCAGCCGCGGUAAU
rnacentral:rRNA from 1 species